UACGUAGGGUGCAAGCGUUGUCCGGAAUUAUUGGGCGUAAAGAGCUCGUAGGCGGUCUGUCGCGUCGGUUGUGAAAACACAAGGCUCAACCUUGUGCCUGCAAUCGAUACGGGCAGACUAGAGUACUGCAGGGGAGACUGGAAUUCCUGGUGUAGCGGUGGAAUGCGCAGAUAUCAGGAGGAACACCGGUCGGCGGAAGGCGGGCACUGGGCAGUAACUGACGCUGAGGCAGCGAAAGCGUGGGGAGCAAACAGG
rnacentral:rRNA from 1 species